UGCUGCCCGUGUCUACUAUACCGAGGCCUCUAAUUACUACAACACCGAAGCGCUCAAGUACUACCACCUGCAUCUGUCCCCAACUGCAUUCCUCAUUGUGUAACCGGUUCGCAAUUAUGGUAAACUGUGGCGUCCUGCUGCUGUUGUGUGUUGUGUGUUGAUGGCUGGGUCGACCACUGGUGUACCGACGAUGGAGAAUACCAGUAGUUCCCGCAACGUCGCCGCCUUACUACACAACAACAACUUACGCAACGACCAGUCCUUGCACCGAGGUCUUCAAGUACUACACAACUAAAGCACCGGAGUUUUAUACCACAACUACGCUACCCCGAGCCACUACACUGAUGCCCUGAAGUAUUAAUCUGCCCCGAGUUACUACACCACCAAGGCGACGGAGUACUACAUGACAACGCAUGCUGCCCCAUCCUACUACACCGAGGCUCCCAACUGCUUCACCGAGCCUCCCGCUUAUUACUCCACCAAAACGGUCGAGUACUACACAGAAGUGGCAAAGUACUUCUCUGCCCCGAUCUACUCAACCAGAGCUGAGGCGGCCAAGUAUUACGCAUCCCGACUUGCCACACAAAAGCUGCUCUUUCGUGCUACGUUGAACUGAAACACUACCCUGAUGCUCCAGUCUACUACACCACGGUCUUCCCUACACCUAGCUACAACACCGCAGCCCUUAAGUACUACACCGAAAACGCCGCCUAUUACACAACCACGUACGCUGCCUGGUAUACUACAUCGAGGAAAGUAUUAUCCAUUAAGUAUACUCCAAACUACUACCAUCUGAAGUUCAUACGUAUUACACCAGCAAUUCUCCUGACUAUGUCACCACUACUUAUGUUGCUCCGACCUAUACAUUGAAAUUCUGAAGUAUUUCACUGGAUGUGUUGAAAGAUUGCUGAAAUACAAGAUUGAUCGAUAAA